rnacentral:rRNA from 1 species
UAGGGAAUCUUCGGCAAUGGGGGGAACCCUGACCGAGCAACGCCGCGUGAGUGAAGAAGGUUUUCGGAUCGUAAAGCUCUGUUGUUAAGGAAGAACGAGUGUGAGAAUGGAAAGUUCAUACUGUGACGGUACUUAACCAGAAAGGGACGGCUAACUACGUGCCAGCAGCCGCGGUAAUACGUAGGUCCCGAGCGUUGUCCGGAUUUAUUGGGCGUAAAGCGAGCGCAGGCGGUCAAUUAAGUCUGAUGUGAAAGCCCCCGGCUCAACCGGGGAGGGUCAUUUGAAACUGGUUGACUUGAGUGCAGAAGAGGAGAGUGGAAUUCCAUGUGUAGCGGUGAAAUGCGUAGAUAUAUGGAGGAACACCGGUGGCGAAAGCGGCUCUCUGGUCUGUAACUGACGCUGAGGCUCGAAAGCGUGGGGAGCGAACAGG